rnacentral:rRNA from 1 species
GUGAUGACGGGUGCUAUACAUGCAAGUCGAGCGGACAUUUAGGAGCUUGCUCCUAAAUGUUAGCGGCGGACGGGUGAGUAACACGUGGGCAACCUGCCCUGUAGACUGGGAUAACAUCGAGAAAUCGGUGCUAAUACCGGAUAAUCUUGAGGAUCACAUGAUCCUCUUGUAAAAGAUGGCUCCGGCUAUCACUACGGGAUGGGCCCGCGGCGCAUUAGCUAGUUGGUAAGGUAACGGCUUACCAAGGCGACGAUGCGUAGCCGACCUGAGAGGGUGAUCGGCCACACUGGGACUGAGACACGGCCCAGACUCCUACGGGAGGCAGCAGUAGGGAAUCUUCCGCAAUGGACGAAAGUCUGACGGAGCAACGCCGCGUGAGUGAUGAAGGGUUUCGGCUCGUAAAGCUCUGUUGUUAGGGAAGAACAAGUGUCGUUCAAAUAGGGCGGCACCUUGACGGUACCUAACCAGAAAGCCACGGCUAACUACGUGCCAGCAGCCGCGGUAAUACGUAGGUGGCAAGCGUUGUCCGGAAUUAUUGGGCGUAAAGCGCGCGCAGGCGGUCUUUUAAGUCUGAUGUGAAAUCUCGGGGCUCAACCCCGAGCGGUCAUUGGAAACUGGGAGACUUGAGUACAGAAGAGGAGAGUGGAAUUCCACGUGUAGCGGUGAAAUGCGUAGAUAUGUGGAGGAACACCAGUGGCGAAGGCGACUCUCUGGUCUGUAACUGACGCUGAGGCGCGAAAGCGUGGGGAGCAAACAGGAUUAGAUACCCUGGUAGUCCACGCCGUAAACGAUGAGUGCUAGGUGUUAGGGGUUUCGAUGCCCUUAGUGCCGAAGUUAACACAUUAAGCACUCCGCCUGGGGAGUACGACCGCAAGGUUGAAACUCAAAGGAAUUGACGGGGCCCGCACAAGCAGUGGAGCAUGUGGUUUAAUUCGAAGCAACGCGAAGAACCUUACCAGUCUUGACAUCCUUAUGACCUCCCUAGAGAUAGGGAUUUCCCUUCGGACAUAAGUGACAGUGUGCAUUGUGUCGUCAGCUCGUGUCGUGAGAUGUUGGUAGUCCGCACGAGCGCACCCAUGAUCUAGUUGGCAGCAAUCAGUGGCACUCUAGGUGACUGCGUGAUAACCGAGAGUGGGAUGACG